rnacentral:rRNA from 1 species
UGCUGUUUCGCUGACGAGUGGCGGACGGGUGAAUAAUGUCUGGGAAACUGCCUGAUGGAGGGGGAUAACUACUGGAAACGGUACCUAAUACCGCAUAACGUCGCAAGACCAAAGAGGGGGACCUUCGGGCCUCUUGCCAUCGGAUGUGCCCAGAUGGGAUUAGCUAGUAGGUGGGGUAACGGCUCACCUAUGCGACGAUCCCUAGCUGGUCUGAGAGGAUGACCAGCCACACUGGAACUGAGACACGGUCCACACUCCUACGGGAGGCAGCAGUGGGGAAUAUUGCACAAUGGGCGCAAGCCUGAUGCAGCCAUGCCGCGUGUAUGAAGAAGGCCUUCGGGUUGUAAAGUACUUUCAGCGGGGAGGAAGGGAGUAAAGUUAAUACCUUUGCUCAUUGACGUUACCCGCAAAAGAAGCACCGGCUAACUCCGUGCCAGCAGCCGCGGUAAUACGGAGGGUGCAAGCGUUAAUCGGAAUUACUGGGCGUAAAGCGCACGCAGGCGGUUUGUUAAGUCAGAUGUGAAAUCCCCGGGCUCAACCUGGGAACUGCAUCUGAUACUGGCAAGCUUGAGUCUCGUAGAGGAGGGUAGAAUUCCAUGUGUUAGCG